GCCUUCGUGGUGCAGUGGUAGCACACUAGGCUCGUAUUCGAGAGGUCCAGGUUCGAGUCCCGGCGAGGGCA
rnacentral:tRNA from 1 species